CGUGGUGGCCAGGCUGAUCUCGAACUCCUGACCCUAGGUGAUCUGCCCACCUCUGCCUCCCACAGCACUGGGAUUACAGCACUGGGCUAAAAUGUCUACAAGUUCAGAUGGCUCCCUGGCUCCUCCUUCAGCCACCAUCCUCCCAAGGGAGAGUCAGUGCUGACAUGAGUCCCCUAAAAUUCGUUCAUCUUUCUGCUGCAAUGGAUAACCAAAGCAAGCUGAGUUCCUGACGGCUGCAUGGAAGUUAGCCAUCCAAGAGAAGAGAGGGCAUUCUAGAUAUGGAGGGCAGGCCACUGCUGCUGUCAUUAGAAAGACUCAUUUCAGCCCAGGCAAGGGGAGGAGAGCAAACCCAGAGAUGGUAACCUGCUCCCCUGAACCAGAGGAAGCAGAGACCUUCUCACAAGGACCAGGCGAGGGAUGGUCGAGAAGAUUCUAAUCCAGAUUCAGAAGAGGAGCUGACUGGCCUCUGGCAAGCCCAAGCUGGAUUACCAGCUGCGGAGGCAGAGGUGCCUGAGGUUUCCCAGCCCCCAGGCCAGAGGAGGCUGCUACACCCACUUCCCCCACGAAGCUGGGGCCCAGGCCAGAGAGAGAGCCCCAAAGCUGGUUUGGGGGCGGGGAGCUUCCCUACAGGCCCUGGAGCCCCAUAGGCCCCAAGACAAAGCAAGAGGAAUGAGAGGAAGCACAGCCGGGUCAAAGCUCCGAGCCACGAGUACUGAGGCAGGUGGUGGUACCCAGACCCCCUCUCCAUAGCUCCCAUGAGAGCACAAGGCGGAGGAGAGGACAGACUCCUGGCCUGAGGGGCCAAGCACCAGCUUCUCAGCCAGCUCUGCCACUGACUUGCUGCUUGGCAAGUCACUUAACUGUUCCAAGCCUCAGUUUUCACUUCUGGAAAUGGGGAUAUGACCCCCUGCCUGCCCCCUCAUGCUGGCAUAAGAAUCAAUGACCUGUGACAGGACUUUGUAAAUUAUAAGUUGGUAUUAGUUAGGCCUCUUUAGUCACAAAUGUGAGAAACUGACAUUAAAUGAGGCAAUGCAAAAGGGGGAUUCACCAGCUCAGAGGCCCAAGACCCAGGGCAGGGAGAGGAGGCGCUGUCAUUCCCUCUCACCCCUGCAUCUCUCUGCAAGUCAGUCUCUUCUUCCGCAAGCCUGGAGCCAACUUCACCUCCUAAGAGGAGCUUCUCUGCUCUGUCACUACCAACUUGAACAACCACAGGGAGGGCCCUGAAUUGUGUCACAUGUCCACCCAUGGCUGUGAGACACUAUCUUAUGCAGCUUCUUCUGGAAGCUUCUUAUUUUGAUUGUUGGCAUCAGCAUUAUAAGUUUGCCACAUUUUCCUGAUUCCUAUCCUCCUUGGACAAAAUAACAUAGGGGCUAAGGGCACAGGCUCUGGAACCCAGAUUACCUGGAUUCAAGUUCUGGUUCUGCCAUUUUCUCACUGUGUAACGUUGGGCAAGUCGCUUAACUUCUCUGCACCUCAGUUCAUAAAUCUGUGAAAACUAAAUGAGUUGAUACAUGGGAAGUAUGAACAAUUGUGCCUGGUGCCGGCCAGGGGUUCAACAAAUGUUAAUCAUUAUUAUUGUCGGAGAAUGAAGGGGCAGUGCCUGGGAAUCCCAGGAUGAGAGACAGCCUGAAGAAAAACCAUCCUGCUCCACCUACUCCUCAACCUUCUUCCGGGGAGAGCUGACAACUGCAGGAGCUAUGGCUCAACAAAGAUGUACAGAGCUAUGCAGUAAGCCCUGAGAAUUACAAAACUUGACAGACAAAGUCGCUUUUUCUCCAGAAGCUCAUUGCCAAGUAAGGGAGAUAGAAGCAUGAAGAGAUCAUUUCUAUCCUGUGCUGGAUAGAAGCGUGUGUAUGUCUCUGUGGGAAGCCACAGUGGGACAACUGGUCCAGAGAGAGCUGCCUGGAAGAAAUGACACCUGAGCUAAGGCCUGGAGCAGGGGCAAGAGCUUGCCAAGCAAGGAAAGGAGGGCAGGGCGUUGUGCUGUCCAUUGGCUAUUCAGUCUCGGCUCCAGAUCUCCACUUGUCAGAUUUGGUGUCAGAAGUGAGAAUACAGAGUAAAACUUCAGCAACCCCCAGGAACACCAGGGAACCAGACCAGAUACCUGCGAAGCCAGCUGUGCCCACUGAUUUCUUGUUUGUAACUGGAGGUCGUGGCUGAAUUUUCUCUCAGAUUCCAAGAUCCAAGAAUUUGUGUUCUCAGCUCUCCAAGUUUGUUUGAGCAAUCUUUGGACUGGGCUGGGUUUGGGAUUGGAUUGGAUUCAAUAAUCAACCGGAUUAGAUUCAGUUAGAGGCUGAGGGCCUCAGGUGGGUACCUUUUUGGUAAUGAGUUCAUCUCAAUUCAAAGAGCCUGGGACUCCACAUUCUGGGACUCCAGCUACUUUUAUGUAUAAAAUUAUGGGCCCAGAACAUGUGCAUUUUCAGAAAAAAUGGGUUAACCUCACUGAGACAACUUAGAAAAGAUAAUGGGGAAGUUUUAAUUUGGUUAAAAUUAUUUAUUUGCAAGUCAUAUGAGAAAAAAGGAAUCAGAAUCCCACAUAAAAACAAUAGUAUGUAUCCUUUAAUUAGUAUAGGAAGAUCUAAAAGACUGAACAAAUCAAAAAUUGCAUCCGUAAAAGAUUCUUUGCAAAAAGCAAGUGAAAAUCUUAAACAACAGACUAAGGACAUCAUAAAAGAGGACUAAGGCCGAG
rnacentral:lncRNA from 1 species